rnacentral:rRNA from 1 species
GACGAACGCUGGCGGCGUGCUUAACACAUGCAAGUCGAACGAUGAACCGGAGCUUGCUCUGGGGAUUAGUGGCGAACGGGUGAGUAACACGUGGGCAACCUGCCCCAGACACCGGGAUAACCAUUGGAAACGAUGGCUAAUACCGGAUACGACCACUUCGGGCAUCCGAUGGUGGUGGAAAGGAUUCUGGUCUGGGAUGGGCCCGCGGCCUAUCAGCUUGUUGGUGGGGUAAUGGCCUACCAAGGCGACGACGGGUAGCCGGCCUGAGAGGGCGACCGGCCACACUGGGACUGAGACACGGCCCAGACUCCUACGGGAGGCAGCAGUGGGGAAUAUUGCGCAAUGGGCGAAAGCCUGACGCAGCGACGCCGCGUGAGGGACGAAGGUCUUCGGAUUGUAAACCUCUUUCAGCAGGGAUGAAGCGAAAGUGACAGUACCUGCGGAAGAAGCACCGGCUAACUACGUGCCAGCAGCCGCGGUAAU